AUUGAACGCUGGCGGCAUGCUUUACACAUGCAAGUCGAACGGUAACAGGCCGCAAGGUGCUGACGAGUGGCGAACGGGUGAGUAAUGCGUCGGAACGUGCCCAGCCGUGGGGGAUAACUACUCGAAAGAGUAGCUAAUACCGCAUACGAUCUAUGGAUGAAAGCGGGGGACCGUAAGGCCUCGCGCGAUUGGAGCGGCCGAUGUCAGAUUAGGUAGUUGGUGGGGUAAAGGCUCACCAAGCCAACGAUCUGUAGCUGGUCUGAGAGGACGACCAGCCACACUGGGACUGAGACACGGCCCAGACUCCUACGGGAGGCAGCAGUGGGGAAUUUUGGACAAUGGGCGCAAGCCUGAUCCAGCAAUGCCGCGUGCAGGAAGAAGGCCUUCGGGUUGUAAACUGCUUUUGUACGGAACGAAACGGCUCUGGUUAAUACCCGGGGCUAAUGACGGUACCGUAAGAAUAAGCACCGGCUAACUACGUG
rnacentral:rRNA from 1 species